UACUACUGAGUACGCAAUUGAUUCAAUUUUUUCAAAAAUUUCCCCUUCCCUUAUAAAAAAACUUCACUAGCAACUUUUCACCGGACCGAUAAAUGAUGAACAAGGUCACAGUUGCGCAAUAACAGACGCAUUGUCAGUAUUCAACAUGAAGCCCUGCCUAAUGUUCGUAAUUGCAUGCUUGAUUUUGUUGUACAAUUGGGGCUGUUGUCAUGAUGGCAACGAGAGUUAUCUGCAGAACAACCACGAAGGAUUACCUAUGAAUGUUCUUAUUGAUCCCAAAUGUCCAGAAGGGCAAAUUAAAGUCAACAAAUACUGUAGGAAGGUUUAUCUAUGAGACAUACAUGAUGAUGGAUGGAGUUUAUAGCACUUGGGGUGUAGUGAAACAUUAUAUAGACAUAUAACUUGAAAUUAAUAAACUUAAUUGUAUUUUAACGUUUUGUAUUUGUUGAAAGGGUUUGGAAUUAUUAGUUACCAUUUUUGUAAAUAUAUUUAGCUAUAAUUACGGCAAAAUUUUAUACCUACCUGAUUUAAAUGACGUACCACACACUAUGGUUUUCUAUGAUGUUUCCAUUAUAAUACGUAAUUGUUCCAUUUUCGGGAGCGUGUUUCGGAAACAAAUGACCUUUUAAAUUAAUGAGCAACAUACCUUAUUCCCUUGCUAACCCAUUAUAUUGUUAAAAUUUAAAUAACUAUUAGAACGGACACUUUCUCGUCUGUUUCGGCUUACAGGCUGUAAGACUUCUGUUGUUUCCCACGCACUUUUUUGAAAACUGGAUUUAUGGGUAUUUAGUCAAAAUGUAAUAGAAAACUAGUUAUAAGUUGGUACCUACAUCAUCUGGCAAGGAAGUUCCAAAGCAACAAUUUGAUCGCCAUGAAAACAAAAGAAUUAAUUAAUUAAUUUAAUUCUCAUGCAAACUACACAAUUUGGCCCAAAAGCUGCUUCCACUCCUUAACCUUAACCAAUAUCUUACCUCAAGAUAGCCGAAACUACCCUUCAUUACGAUAGCAUGUUGGUAAUGCUCGUUUUCUCUCAUUUGGAUGGUCAUUUACUACUACUACUUGAUUUAAAUAUCUUCUACGUUGGCCAAACGCGAAAACAAAGGGAAGCGGUGUGAAGGGACAUGUAUUUCGAUCAUAGCGCAUUAGAAAAGUAGGAGGCAUGCUAAUUUGAGGUAUAAUAUCUUGGAAACCGUGAUAAGGACAACGAAUUCUGGUACGAGAUAAAUGACCAAAUUGAACUAAUAAAAUAAUAAACACAGCAAUAUGAACUAGACUAAUUUACAGUAGUUGAAUUAGUAAAUAUAUAUGCUUAACGAAAUUUAUUUCGAAGACUUUCCAUAUGGACCUCGUGUAGUUAUUGCAUUGCGAAGUUUGUAUACGGUCAUAAUUUGUACUCAAUUAGGUUGAAAAUGAUGUGUAAAAUUUGUGCUUGUGGAAGAUACCUAAUUCAAAGCUAAUGUGUUGGUUAUGGCAAAUACAUUUUAUUGUGCGACAGGGUGUAAAUCUUUUAAGCGAAGAACGCCGAACACAACGUUCCAUAAAUUUCCCAAUAAAAAUGAGACGGUAGGGAAACAAACAAAGCUGGGUAGGAAACUGUAAAUAGACAAUGCUUUGGAAAAUAUGCGAAGACCGUUAGUGAAUUUAUGAUUGUACUGAUUACAUUUCGUUAAAAUUUCUAGGCAAGUUAAAUCAUUAAUGUUGCAUAUUGAUUGUUUGCAAAAGGAGGAAUAUUAAAUGCUAUUGCUAUGAAAAUGUAUCCAAUCCAUUGAAAGAUUCAAUGCGUAAAAAGAACCAUCAAAUCGAGACGAAAGGCAAGAUAUGUAGCAAGAUUAUUUAACAAGUAAGAAGCGAUUGAAACUGUUUAUGCUUACACCAACAAAUGAGGAACUACAAGCUAUCGAUGCAUUGCUAACAUUAGUUCAAGUAGAAACUCAAGCAAGUGAACGGAGUAUCUAUAGAGACUUCGAAGUUUAAGUAAGCACACCAUGCAAAUUAACACUCUCUCAGUUUCAGAAAUCAGAAAAAAAGCAUUGUUUGAUUGGAAUAAACAGUUUUUGUAUGGUUCCGGUGCUACAAAAAGAUGUUGGACUACAUAAACCACCAGUUAAGGAUAUCUAGUUUAUCAUGAACACUAAAUUAAAGAAUUUUUGGUGUUCAGCAUGCCUAAAUGUUACGAUCAGUUUAAGGACACCCGAAUUGUGUUGCGCUAUACAGAGGUAUUUAUAUAAACAUUCAUAAUUAUAGUGCCAUAGCAGUUAACUAAUACAAAAAUUAGCGAAUAACAGCAGUUAUGGUGGAAAAACUGUUCUUAAUUGGAGAUAUUUGUAAGAUAAAUAACAUUAAAAUGUACCGUCCACUUUUCCUUUGUGAAAAAUCACAAUUUAAUGAAAAUGACGCCAAUUUAAAUAAACAUGGCAUCUGCAAGAGUAUACAUCGAACGUAUAAAUCAACCUUUGAAAGUGAUCGAGAUACUAGGCAAGAAAUUGCAAUCGAAUUGUCAAUGGCUGCUCUAAUUAUUUUUAUAUUAAUUUAAAAGCAGAGAUUUUGAAAAUUGAUCAUCAUUACGUUGGUUUUGUCAAAGAACAAAAAAUGAUGAAGUUACAGUAUGCAACAUUUGACAUUUCUCUACCAAGUUGUACUUGUGCGAGGUAUUUAUGUCUUUUAGGUAAGUAUAGAUUUCUAUCUACCUAUUGUAAUGGUCCCAGUAUAUUUAUAGGUUUAAGUAUAUAUGUUUAUAAGUUUAUCUUUAUAUAUAGAUCACUUCCAAGAAUCACUCUAACUUUCGUAAUUACAAACCGAUUUCGACCAAACUUUAAGGGUUGGGGUAACUCGUAAAUAUCUCGGUCAAGUUCGUGAAUCAGGCAAUUCCGCCAUCUUGGAACAACAAUAUUUCGGAAAGAAAUCUACCUACACCUGAUCGGCCGUCUCAAGAAAUUUAUUUACUGGGUGAGAGUGCAGUGGGAGUGGAAGAGGGGGAGUGCAGUGUAAGAUGUCGCACUCUUAAUGCAGCUGCAAAAUAUCAAACGGAAACGACGCAGGUACUGGAAAGGCUCUUGUUGCCAUUUAGAAUGGUUCACAAGCUCUUAUCUGCAUGAGGGAUAAUUCUUAACGAUGAUUCACGGGAAAUGUAGAUGCUCUUCUCUGACUUCGGGUAACAAUUUAUACGUUGAAAGUUAAAAGUGACACAGCAGCGAAUGAUGACGUAAAACCAAAUGUAAACGCUUUAGCCAUAAACACCUUGAAAAGAGAAUAACGAAUUUACAGUUAAGGAAAUUAUUUUGAAGACGAAAUUUACCUUCGAUGAAGGCGUAGCUAACUAAACAAAAAGUUCAAUAACGUAUCACAUAAACAUUUGUGAAUUUCCGAUAAUUUCGAUUAUAUAAUUAAUAAAUUAUUAGAAAAACAACGGAACACACGUCUAGAGCACGUGCUGGUCAGAAAAGCAGAAGCGGUACACUCUAUAGGACAGGCGAGAAACUCAAAGAAAUUUUAGCUAUGUAUGAUAAGUUGCCUCUACGGCAGGGGUAUACGUCACAGUGUAGGUGGUUUUGAAAAUAUGCCAUAAAUUGAAAUGUGUUCAACCUGUGUAAUAUUGGAAAUAUUUGGGAAAUCCGUAGCAAAUUUUGAAAUGCUUCGGCCAAUUUGAUUCCCUUUUUAAAAUACUUUCCAAUCGCCUUCUAAUACUAGAGUCGUGGGAUUUACACGUAAAUGGUCACAAUAUCGCAGGUUUCAUUUACUUUGUAGUCAUAUCGUGACUGGACUGAUCUGAUUAAAAGUGAAUAGCCAUCUUAUUUGAGGAAACUGCUAACUACUUGCCAAAUCAACCGACGAAUGAGAGUCGAUUUGAUUCAUAUUCCAACAAAAUUAUUUCUCAUAAAACAUUAACUUAGGAAACGUUAGAUAUUUUCACUCCUAUAGCUUUAAUUUUACUUUUUUAUUGGUCACUUUAAUGAGCGCGAUUUAAACAUGAAUCAUUUGAAAUAUCACAGUUGUUCACAUGAACGCCUUUCUUCGGAUCACCCCAGCUUCAAUUGGCGUCUAGCAUAGAUACAACCGAUACAAUCGACACAUUAAUUAUACCUACCGCUUUUAUGCAGAUUCCAUGUUAAAGAGAUCCACAAUAGGUAAAAUAGGCUAAUCUAAUCGCAAUCAAGAACUACGUCAUUCUAGAAUUUUCCUUGUCAUAUGUAUGAUGUAUAAACGUCAGCACAUUAUCUCACCUAUAGCAUUUACAGUUUAGCAAUUACCAAUAUAAAGUAACGUUUUUUCUAAAUUUGUGCCCAAUCAUGGUUUGCAAAAUCUUGCUGGCAGUUGCAGUAGUGUUGCUCUUAAUAACCAAAAUCGAUGCACAUGAUUUCGCUGUACCGGCAACCGUAAAUGUCGUUUCUCCAACAAAUAUUACCCGAAACAGGUCGAUCAUUCAGGUUCCGUGCAAGGAAGGCUAUGAGCUCAUAAAUGGAAAGUGUCGAAAAGUUUACAAAGACGAUGAGACAGACCUCGUUGAUUAAGUUGGCCAAGAAAAAUCACUUUCCAUUUGGCUACGGAGGUUAAUUAAAAAAAUUAAUUUACUUUAGUAUUAAAUAAAUUAUUAAAACUAUAGAAUUAAUCCAGUUUUAUCUACAGAUGAAAUCCCUGAAACCUUAUCGUUUAUAUGACAUGACCUGAACUUAAAUGUAUAUCAGCGCUAAAGUUAAAAAAAUGAAAUAGACACUUAUCCGAACGAGUUCAAAAUGAUUUUCAUCCGUCUUCCCUUCUUUUUUAACAUGGCCCUAAAUGGAUUUGUAUGGUGCAAACGAAUACGAAAAGGAAAAAUGGUAUCAGUUUGGAAUCCAUUCUUUAAACUGUAGAUUAUGAGGUCGGAUCUGAUCAAUCGGAAAUAAGAGAUACAAGUGUCGCAGAAAAAAGACAACAGUAAGGGAAGAUUUACAAACAUCCACCUUUAAAUGCCAUCAAUAGAACUAACAUAAUAUAAGUCAAUUUUGAUGAAAAUACCUAUCUAUUAAAUGUAGCCUUUCGUUUUACGCAAAGUAAUGUGGCACUGGAAGUCCAAUUUACGGGGCGGGCAAUUCCUCUAUUUGAUUGAAUCUGGCUACACAAUAUCAACCCUUAAAUACCAUCAAUAAAAUUAGGACAUACAUUCUCAGUUUUUUAAAAAUUGUUUAUUAUUGAAGUCAGAAAAAAGGCUUGUUACUAAAUUUUUCACAUUUUAGUGUACCUAGUAGGCGUUCAUAAAAUGUCAAAAUAAUCCAUUGAUGGUUCCUGUAAAUUGCAUACCUAAUAUAGAAUCCUAUAUUGGGCCAUACAUCAUUAUUUUCGUAAUAAAAAAUGCUACUCGAUUCAGUAUGUACUUUUUGUCCGGUCCAUAUAAAAAUAUGAAGAUGGUGAUGGUUUCUCAAAUACGAAACGUCGCAGUGAAAAUCUGUGGGCAUUAUAGAGAAAAAGUUCCAAUGAGGAAGUGUUAUUUAUUUUUUGAUAUCUUUUCAAACAGGGCCAGAAAAAAAAAUAAAAACCAAUAUGAUUAA